GACGGGUGAGUAACAUGUGGGUAUCUACCCUUUGGCCUGGAAUAACACGAGGAAACUUGUGCUAAUACUGGAUAAGUCUUUACAGAGAAAGCUUUAUGCACCAUUGGAUGAGCCUGCACUUGAUUAGUUUGUUGGUGGGGUAAUGGCCUACCAAGGCUGUGAUCAAUAGCUGAUUUGAGAGGAUGAUCAGCCACAUUGGGACUGAGACACGGCCCAAACUCCUACGGGAGGCAGCAGUGGGGAAUCUUGCACAAUGGAGGAAACUCUGAUGCAGCGAUGCCGCGUGAGUGAAGAAGGCCUUUGGGUUGUAAAGCUCUUUCGUCGGGGAAGAAAAUGACUGUACCCGAAUA
rnacentral:rRNA from 1 species